rnacentral:lncRNA from 1 species
GCGCCCGGCCCCGCCGCCGCUCGCGCCGGCUCGUCCGCGUGCGGCGAGGAGGCGCCGCGCCGCACCGCCCGGCUGGGACCGAGACCCGGGGAGGGACCCGCCGCCCCGGUGCCCUCCGCGGGGAGUCGCCGGGGGCAGCCCGGAGGGGGACGCAGGGAAGCGCUCGCCUUUCUCAGGCCGCAGACAAAAGGGCGCCGAGCGGCCGCCGCAGCCCCCACUGCUGCCGAGGCUCCGUCCCUCGCCGCCGCCGCCGCCGCCUCCUGUGUGUCCGGCUGAACCAUAGAGAUCAUUUAAGGCGGGGGGAGAGAGGGGCUCAUCCGCUGCCCACGUGACUGGACAUGUCACUCACCCGGCCAGCGCCAUCUUGGAGCGGGAGGGGGGACGCUGCUCGCAGCUCGUAUUCAAGAUGGCGCGGGCCGUGCGGGAGGCUGCUAUUCACAGACGGACGCUGCGCCACUCCACUGUAGCUCUCCCUGCGAUUCCUGCCGGACUGCACAGGAAGGUGCUACGUCCGUCCUGGGGGAUGCCGGGAGGGGGAGACUCUACUGCUCUCGAUCCGGGGCCCCAUGAAAGACGCGGGAAAAGCGGCGGCCGGGGCGGAGGCCGUGCGCAUGCCCCAGCACCGCCCGCGGAGAGCCGAGGCGGGCCGGGCAGUGCUGUGUGCAGACUCUAGGGCUCAUUUAGCGGCAAGGAAGUGCCAAGUGCUGCAGAUCAAAGCCCCAAGGCAUUAACAGAUUAAUGAAAAUGUUCAGUAAGUAGAUCUGCAAGUAAUAGUUCUGAUAUACUCCAGAAAUAGGUUCUUUGUACAUGUACAGGCCAGCGGUACUAUACCUGUAAUAUUCCUGUCCUCUUCCAUGUGUUCUGAUGAAAGAGGAUGAUCAAAACCAGCCUGCUGUCUGUCCUUCUUAAAGGUCUUCUGGGAGUGAGAAGAAAGUCGGCUGCAAUUCAUAUGAAUUGUCCUGUUGGUGGACAUCUACUUUUGGUUGCCAUUUUUCUGUGGGGCCUCUCAGCCCCUCAUGUGACUAGGCAACAGUCUGAUGUGACAGGGAAAGAAGUGUGAAUCCACUAGCAAGGAAGCCAAAAACCUAAGAAAUUCCUUGGCAACUUCAAUAGUUUCAAGUAAGAAAUAGUUAGCAACGAAAGCAAGACAAUACAGUGUCAAGUUUCAAGUUCCCAAUAAUCUCUUAUCCUCACCAGACUCUGCAGUCUAGAAGCUGUCAACUUCAGAAAUAUCAUUGGUCAUGGAGACUCAUGCCAAGUCUAAGACAGAUACCCUGUACGCAGAGAACAACAGUUAUGAUUCCAGCUUGAAGCCCAGGAUCUUCAAACACAGGACUGGCAAGAUGCUAAACAGAUACUUGACAUGCAAGGCAUUUUCCUUCUCUUUUUAUUUA